AGACGACGACGGGUAGCCGGCCUGAGAGGGCGACCGGCCACACUGGGACUGAGACACGGCCCAGACUCCUACGGGAGGCAGCAGUGGGGAAUAUUGCACAAUGGGGGAAACCCUGAUGCAGCGACGCAGCGUGCGGGAUGACGGCCUUCGGGUUGUAAACCGCUUUCAGCAGGGAAGAAGCGCAAGUGACGGUACCUGCAGAAGAAGUACCGGCUAACUACGUGCCAGCAGCCGCGGUAAUACGUAGGGURCRAGCGUUGUCCGGAAUUAUUGGGCGUAAAGAGCUCGUAGGYGGUUGGUCACGUCUGCUGUGGAAACGCAACGCUUAACGUUGCGCGUGCAGUGGGUACGGGCUGACUAGAGUGCAGUAGGGGAGWCUGGAAUUCCUGGUGUAGCGGUGAAAUGCGCAGAUAUCAGGAGGAACACCGGUGGCGAAGGCGGGACUCUGGGCUGUAACUGACACUGAGGAGCGAAAGCAUGGGGAGCGAACAGGAUUAGAUACCCUGGUAGUCCAUGCCGUAAACGUUGGGCACUAGGUGUGGGGGGCAUUCCACGUUCUCCGCGCCGUAGCUAACGCAUUAAGUGCCCCGCCUGGGGGAGUACGG
rnacentral:rRNA from 1 species